ncrna:Pseudomonas aeruginosa PA7 radC RNA
CGAAUUCGAAUUGGCUCGCUGUCGUUGACAGCGCCUCCCAAGGAGCCAGGGUUUAAGGCUCCGGCGCGCAAGCGCUAACCCACCCAAGACCGCCACAGCACUCGGCAGCGCGGUCGCAUCACGCAAGUGAUGGAGUGC